rnacentral:lncRNA from 1 species
UGCGUUCUUCUUCUCGCCGUCCGGUGUUUAUCCGGCUAUAUGUCUGGCAUCUUCCGUUUUCCACAACGGUGAUGGUCGGCUCUCGUCUGGCACCGAUUGGCUUCUCCAGCAACGGUGGCUAGCUCCUGCCCGGCAUCGAUCAGCUUUUCUAGUGGCGAUGGCCGGUAUCGUUUCUCUUUACUUUCUAAAUUUGUUAUGUUUUUGCUAAUAAUCUCAUUGGAUCUAUGUUGGGGAUGAUUAUCUGUCCGUUAACGGUAGUUCUUCUCCAAUAUGUCUUUUGAGUUUUUAGAUCUGGAUUGUUUCUUGUCUCUUCAAGAUGGGUUUCGCCGGAUCGUUUUCUUUUGAACUCGGGUUUGCAGAAUGGUUUCAAGGAGAUUUCCAUCUUAUGUUG